rfam:Pseudomonas syringae pv. spinaceae strain ICMP16929 PspICMP16929_Contig_179, whole genome shotgun sequence.
AUUCUCAAGACAUGUACCGCUGACGUUGUCAGCAACAUGCCCGAGGUAGUCUGGAUUUCAUGACUACGAUGCGUUCCACGCAUUAAUCCACCCCCUAGUUCGCAAAGCAUUCGGAAGCGCGAACGGUUGAUCAGAUUUUUGAUUGAUGGAUGC